ACAUCCCAAGCAUCAAUUCUCAAGCUUUUUUUUGAAAAAUAAAUGCUUGGCAAGAAAACAUUCAAAUUGCGAUACCAUGAAAGACAAAAUCUGUAAACGGCCAAUGGGUAAGCGAAGCUAAAAUUCUCAAAAGUUUGAGUAAACAACAAAUAAUGUUAACCAAUUCAAAUGUGUUAAAACCACUUCGAAAAUUAAAUACCGUCAUGAAUAUAAAUAAGGCGUAACAAUGAAACAACUUCUGCUGCAGUAGUGUGCCGCAGGAUAAACGAGAUGAGUUGUGGCGAAGUUGCGGCCGGGGCACUCAAAUCAAUUACAUAUCUGCAACAUAUUUGUAACGACAAUACGACAAAUAGCUCAAGCUCAUUCUUUCGAUGUUGAUUUCCAUCGUGUGCGUUUUUUUAGUUAAAAUGGCAAAGGCUGGUAACAAAAUAUCAACUUUUACAUAAUACGUACAUAAUAUAAUCUAAAUAUAUUCGAAUAAAAAUGUACUCUGAAUUGUUUAAUAUAUUUUCAAAAGCGGUAUCAAAGAAAGCGGUAUCAAGUAGAUGUGGAUUAAUUAAUAAUUACGAAAUGUUGCAGAGCAAAAAUUACCUCCGGCUUAAAAAAAUUUAAAUUUGUUUGUUGUUACUUUUGCUUA